UACGUAGGGUGCGAGCGUUGUCCGGAAUUAUUGGGCGUAAAGAGCUCGUAGGCGGUCUGUCGCGUCGAUCGUGAAAACUUGGGGCUAACCCUGAGCUUGCGGUCGAUACGGGCAUGACUGGAGUUCGGCAGGGGAGACUGGAUUCCUGGUGUAGCGGUGAAAUGCGCAGAUAUCAGGAAGAACACCCGUGGCGAAAGCGGCUCUCUGGAACGGUACUGACGCUGAGACGCGAAAGCGUGGGGAGCAAACAGG
rnacentral:rRNA from 1 species